rnacentral:lncRNA from 1 species
AAAAUAAUAACAAAAUAUAUUAACCCUAAUUCUCUAUCCUUGUUUGGCGGCAGCCCUCUAUAUCGAGACCCCCACCCUCCUCGACUCUUGUGACCUUGAAACUCCCAAUCAGGUCGUUAGGUACUUGGGAACAGGAACUUGCUGGCUGGAGUGCGUGAGUGGUCAUGGUCGUUAGGUACUUGGGAACAGGAACUUGCUGGCUGGAGUGCGUGAGUGGUCAUGGUUGCAUUGAUGAGUUAUUUAUCAAACAUUUAUUUACUAUGGUUGUUUGAAAAGUAUUUACAUUAUAUUACAUUAACGCUUCCGCUGAACUUGAUGGUCUUGAAUCACUUAUGUUUGGAUUUUAUUACUAUUAAAUGAUGAAACUUUAUUUAGAACUUGUGAUUCAAUGUAAUUGAUGGCUCAUUACUAG